CUUUACUCUGCCGGGGUUCUUUUUCUGGUGCAAUGGUACCCUAACAAAAAUAUCUAAGCCUCAACAUGCCCUUUGCUUUUUGUGUUCCUUUUAUCUUGGUCCCUCAAUUAACUCUGUACAGUGAGGCUGAAUUAACAUGGCUUGUUACUACCUCUCUUUCCAGGACAAGAAGGGCCAUCUUUCUACCAGUAGUACUUGGACUCUCCCUGGCCUCCUCACUAGCUGCCUCCGGACUGGAGGCAGGAGGACUUGGUUAUGAAGUAACCGCUACUCAGAAGCUUGAACAACAAUUCGGGAAGUGGUAGAGGCAUCUGUCACCUCUCUCGCUUCCCUACAAAGGCAACGUCCAUUGCCCAAGUUUCAUUACAGAACCGUUGAGCCCUAGAUCUCCUGACAGCAGACAAAGGAAGAACCUAUAUAUUCUUGAAAAAAGAAUGCUGUCACUAUAUCAAUAAAACUGGAUUGGUCGAAAAGAACGUCGACACCCUCCAUUCAUUUAGGUUCAUCUAAAAGCGUGUGGGUGAAAUUGCCAGAGUGACCUACAACCAGAUGCUCCUACACCCUUACAGUCACCUCCCCACAGAACCAACACCCAAGCCA
rnacentral:lncRNA from 1 species